rnacentral:rRNA from 1 species
CGGCCAUGUAAGUCCGCUGUGAAAUCCACGCGCUCAACGUGUGGAAGCGCAGCGGAUACUGCAUGGCUAGGGACCGGAAGGCGUCGAGGCUAUUCCAGGGGUAGGAGUGAAAUCCAAAAAUCCCUGAAGGAGCACCUGUGGCGAAAGCGCUCGGCGAUUACGGAUCCGACGGUGAGGGACGAAAGCCAGGGGAGCAAAGGGGAUUAGAUACCCUCGUAGUCCUGGCCGUUAACAAUGUCCGUUUGAUGUCGGCUAACCUCCGAGGUUAGCCGGUGCCGAAGUAAAAACGUUAAACGGACCGCCUGGGUA